UCCAUGUUCUUCAGAUGUUGGUGAUUUUAGAAAUUGAAAUCGAGACUUUUGAGAUCGAACGAGGUAGGGAAUGGUCAAGGGUUAUCUGAUAGAGGUGGUGAUGAUACGACUAUCGUAUUCAGAGUUCACGGAAAAGUUUGCACGCAGGAUCCUGAGGGACUCUUCUCUUGCAUUCUUGGUCAUGAGGCCGCUGGGGUUGGUGAGAGUGUUGGUGAAGGAGUUACUGAAGUUCAACCUGGGGACCAUGUUAUCCCUUGUUACCAAGCAGAAUGCAAGGAAUGCAAGUUCUGUAAAUCAGGAAAGACAAAUCUCUGUGGCAAAGUCCUGUCUGCUACUGGAGUUGGCGUUAUGAUGAGUGAUCGCCAGAGUCAUUUCUCAGUGAAUGGAAAACCCAUCUAUCAUUAUGGAGAAGAAGAUAAGAGUGCCACGUAAGCAGUGUCACGUGGGCCUUGCCACGUACGCACUGGGUGAUGACGUAUAAAGAGUCAUAGUAGCUGGUUGGGUCGAAAUAACCGAUUCAAAGAACUAUCUUGUCAUUUUAAGUGCACCUAACGGUGCUAACUUUCCAUCCAUCACUUUUGGUCAAAACUUGCCUACUUUAGCAAUAAAUAAAAAAAGUGGCCUAGAAAUGAAAAGCACCAAAAAAACGGGCCUAUUUUUGUGAAAAACCCUAUUUUUUUUUGGGUCUCCCCCUAAGUUCCCCUUGCAUUUACUGAUUUGGUUUUCAAAUCUGCAAACUCGUCUGGGUGAUGGCCUUCAAGUAAAAGUCGACAAGCUUUCAUCUGCUAUGACUACUAUUUUCUGAAAUACUCUAAUUCCACAUAAAAAUAUGAACAGCGCUGAAAAUUUAGGAGAGGCGGUGAUAGGAUUGAGAACUCGGUUUACACUUUCAGCAUGAGGGAAUACUAAUUUUGAUGCUGAUGCUGCAAAGAAUUUUAAGGAGAAAACCGAUGAUGAGUAGUAAGUAGGGAUUUUGGACAACCUUCCACUUGCAGUCCUUAGACCAAGGAGGGAUGGAACACAGGCCACCAGUUGCGAACAUGGUUUCUGCAUUGGUUUUAAAAGAAACUACGCUGGGGGCAAAGAUGGAAAAUAUUACAUUAUUAACCACCUUAUCUUCAGAGUCACGUACCACAUGCGCAUGGAUCCUGAGACUGAUGUGGCCCGAAUUGUUGGUUUCAAGGUUACUCCAAACAGUGCAACAUUAAGGACGAACUUACUUGCAAAGUGGCAUAGCAUAUGAAGCUGGAUGCCGAGGCUUCAAAGAGUUUUAAAGAGAAAAUCGAUAGUGAGUACCGCAUAAACAUGAACAGUGCUGAAAAUUUAGGCGAGGCUCUUCGAGGUGAUCGGAUUUAGAACUCCAUUUACACAAGCAAAGAUGAAAAUAUUUCAUCAAUAACCACCUCCGCUUCAACGCCAUUUAUUACAUGGAUCCCGAGACUGAUAUGGCACGCAUUGUUGGUUUCAAGAUAACUCCAAAGAGGGUAUGACAAGUCAGUGGUUUUUGGAGUAUUCAGGAUCAUAUAUCUGCUGCAGCAAUAGACCAAGGUUCUGCAAAAUCGCCAGGGUAAAAAAACACCCUCUAAAGCUGCUGGUGAAAAUGCUUCUUAGAGCCCUUGUAUUGGACCACUUGGUAUCUACCAAGGGCAUAACGUCACUGUUGAAGAUGUGCGGUUUUUUCCAUUAAGUACUCAAGAGUUCUCUAGUGUGGGUGAUGAUUCUUGCCUUAUUCUAUGGGAGCUAAUACCGGCACAAGUCCAACUGUCAAGGUUGAAAAGGCUCACAAUGCUGAUCUGCACUGUGUGGAUUGCCAUGACGAAAACCUUAUUUUGACCGGGGUGAUGGCCCUCAAGUAGAAGUCAACAAGCUUUCAUCUACAAAGACGCAACUUCCCUAUGACUACUAUAUUCUCAGAUAUUGUAAAAAUUAUGAACAGUGCUGAAAUUUUGGAGGGGCUCUCUGAGGUGAUCGGUAUUAGGAGUCCAUUUACACAUUCGUACUUGCAAAGUUUGCAUGCCAUAUGAAGCUUGAUGCCGAGGCUUCAAAGAGUUUUAAGGAGAAAAUCGAUGAUGAGUACCGAGCAAACAUUGCAAAGAUGAAAAUAUUUCAUCAAUAACCACCUCAGCUUCAACGUCAUUUAUCACAUGGAUUCCGAGACUGAUAUGGCCCACAUCACUGGUCUCGAGGUUACUGCAUACAGUUCUCACUGUUUCUGAAAGAUUAUCAUGAAAGGAAGAGAAGAGUGCUCAAUUAGUUACACGCAAUCCAACCACCAAAGUCAUGCCAUAAGGUACUUCUCUUUUCACACGUUCUGCUCGUAUCUGUUCCAUUAGUUUUUGUUGGUAGUUACUUGGGAUUCAAAAGCCAGCAAUCGAGGAUCCCGUCAAGACAAACAAGGUUCCAAGAGAAAUACAUGAAGCCAGUUUUUCCUGUUGUUAUUGGAGGAAUACUUCCAUAUGAUGCAGUCUCCAUUGAACUUUUCUUCAUCUUGACACCAAUAUGGCUCAACCAAUUCUGCUACAUCUUUGGUUUUGUGUUCGUCUUUGUUUUCCUUCUGGUCACUUGUGCGGAGAUAACGAUCGUGCUCAGUUACUUCCAGCUCUGCUGUGAAGACAAAUAUUUUUGGUGGAGGGCUUAUUUGACAUAUGGUUCAUCCACGGUUUACCUCUUCGUCUGCCAGGUCUUUCACCUCGAGCUGGAAAUAACCAAAUUGGAAGAUCUACUCUGAAGAUUAGCUGACGACGUGAAAGCAGGUCCGAAAUUUUGAUUUUGAUGCGUGAGAGUGAGAGAGGUGGAUAAAAUUAAAGAAAAAUGAAACUGAAGUUCAGUAGAGUAAGCUUCGAGUUGAUUUUGAUGAUGAUCUACAACAAUGUUAAUGCAGCACGAACCCAAAAUCAUAAUAAGAAGAUGAGAUCAAGAUGAGAUCAUAAGCGGAAAGAGUAAAGAAGAUGAAGAUUCUGUAGAAGAGGAUGAGAAUUUGGAGUUGGGAAAAAUGCAGUAAUUUUCAUUUAAACCCUUACUUUCUUUAUGAAAUUUUGAUGAUUCUCUGUGCUUUUGAUUCUUUAAAUUAUGAAAUGUGACACGACUCGUUGGAAUAGAAAUGUUCUUUGCCUCA